rnacentral:rRNA from 1 species
AGUGAACGCUGGCGGUAGGCCUAACACAUGCAAGUCGAACGGCAGCACAGUAAGAGCUUGCUCUUACGGGUGGCGAGUGGCGGACGGGUGAGGAAUACAUCGGAAUCUACUUUUUCGUGGGGGAUAACGUAGGGAAACUUACGCUAAUACCGCAUACGACCUACGGGUGAAAGCAGGGGAUCUUCGGACCUUGCGCGAUUGAAUGAGCCGAUGUCGGAUUAGCUAGUUGGCGGGGUAAAGGCCCACCAAGGCGACGAUCCGUAGCUGGUCUGAGAGGAUGAUCAGCCACACUGGAACUGAGACACGGUCCAGACUCCUACGGGAGGCAGCAGUGGGGAAUAUUGGACAAUGGGCGCAAGCCUGAUCCAGCAAUACCGCGUGGGUGAAGAAGGCCUUCGGGUUGUAAAGCCCUUUUGUUGGGAAAGAAAAGCAGCAGGCUAAUACCCCGCUGUUCUGACGGUACCCAAAGAAUAAGCACCGGCUAACUUCGUG